rnacentral:rRNA from 1 species
GGUAUGGGAUGAGCUUGCGUCCGAUUAGCUAGUUGGCGGGGCAACGGCCCACCAAGGCGACGAUCGGUAGCCGGCCUGAGAGGGUGAUCGGCCACAUUGGGACUGAGAUACGGCCCAGACUCCUACGGGAGGCAGCAGUAGGGAAUAUUGCACAAUGGGGGGAGCCCUGAUGCAGCAACGCCACGUGUGGGAAGAAGCAUUUCGGUGUGUAAACCACUGUCAUGAGGGAAUAAGGCCUAUUUUCGGAUAGGAUUGAAUGUACCUUGAGAGGAAGCACCGGCAAACUUCGUGCCAGCAGCCGCGGUAAUACGAGGGGUGCAAGCGUUGUUCGGAAUUACUGGGCGUAAAGGGAGCGUAGGCGGAGAUUCAAGCGGAUUGUACAAUCCCGGGGCCCAACCCCGGCUCUGCAGUCCGAACUGGAUCUCUUGGAUAGUUCAGGGGCAGGC